rnacentral:rRNA from 1 species
UACGUAGGGCGCAAGCGUUAUCCGGAAUUAUUGGGCGUAAAGAGCUCGUAGGCGGUCUGUCGCGUCUGCUGUGAAAAUCCAGGGCUUAACCCUGGACCUGCAGUGGGUACGGGCAGACUAGAGUGCGGUAGGGGAGAUCGGAAUUCCUGGUGUAGCGGUGAAAUGCGCAGAUAUCAGGAGGAACACCGGUGGCGAAGGCGGAUCUCUGGGCCGUAACUGACGCUGAGGAGCGAAAGCAUGGGGAGCGAACAGG